rnacentral:lncRNA from 1 species
GUCGUCGGCCACCGCACCCCGUCGCCCGACUUCGCCGCUGCAACCCAGCGCCUGACCUCGCCGCUUCAAUCCAACGGUAGACCUCACCAUAUAUCUAACGCUGACCUCGCCGCCUUAAUCCCACGUCGACCUCGCCGCCUUAAUCCCACGUCAGACCACACCACCGCAACCCACGACGAAGCUCGAUUGAGCCACGUCGCUUCGAACCCAGCCUCCCAAGAUGUAGCCGAUCACCCCGCCACCAUGUCGUCAAUCUUGGAGGUGCUCCGACGAAGCGCGACCAGCGUUGCACCGCCGCCCACUCCGGCUAAGACUUCAUCCGGUGCUUAGUGUCAGACCAUCUAGCCAAACCGUAAGCCAAACCACAUCCCAAGAGAUUUUUACAGGCAUAUAGUGUUUAAACACCGGUCUGGUAGCAACCCAUUAGCGACGAGGCAGACCGACGUCAGCCAUGAGCGCCGCCGAACG